AAGUCGUAACAAGGUUUCCGUAGGUGAACCUGCGGAAGGAUCAUUAAUUUCAGUAGUUUACUACUGUUUGAGGAGAGGUGGAAACUUUUUCAGUAGCUGUAGCUGGGAAAAAGGACACCUCUUUUCUUAACCCUUGACUUUUUGAGCACUUACGUUUCCUCGGCAGGCUUGCCUGCCGGUUGGACCAAUUUAAAACCUCUGAAUUUUCAAUCAGCGUCUGAAUAAUUUUAAUUAAUUACAACUUUCAACAACGGAUCUCUUGGUUCUG
rnacentral:misc_RNA from 1 species